ensembl:lncRNA
GAAACCGUGGAUGAACGCUUGUUCGCUUGCGUCUUUGUUGAUGGAGGGAGCCGCGAGCAUGCUGAACCCCUGGAGUCUCAGUAUCCACAUGUAAAGAGGUCUCUACAGAGAGUGUUUGAGUGUGCCUACGCUCAGCUGGUCCUGCCUUGGUAUGCCGUUCCCGAGCCGUGCGAGCACCAGCCUCUGCACCAGGUGCUCAGCAGGGAAGUCGACUACAUAAUCGACCAGAUCAUUGAGAGAGCCAAAGACUUUGAUGUCUGCCAGGCGGUUGUGGGCUCCAUUCGGAUUCUGACCCAGCACUUACAUAAUGCAAAGCAGCCAGACAGGUGAGAUUUUACACCUACUUCCUCUUUAAUUGAGAUUCAUGCUGCUUCAGCUACUCUGUGCUCUCAGAUAUGUGUCUGAACCCCAUAAAAACCUUCAUAUUUCUUUAUCACCUGGGAAUAAGUUACCCAAGUUUUACAAGAUCAUACCCGCACUGACAUCCUAACGAUUGUUCCUGUCCUAAAUGGUGUUUCAAGAGCAGUAAAUCCCCUCAGAUUUAACACUUAGAUUAAGCGAUUAUCAGAUAUGUGGUGAUAAGCAUCUAUGAUCCAUUAAUCACUUGUGUUGUGCUUCCUGUUUCAGAGAGCUCUUGUUCACUUCCAGAGCAGAGGAGAUGGCGGUCCUCCGAGAGUUUUCCGACGCUCUGGUACGUAACCUUUUUCCCGAAUCCCUCUGGAACCAAGAAGUCAACCGCUGUGCCUUAAAUGAGAUCAUUGCCUUAAAGGGUUUGGGCCUGUUGGUGACAUGGCUGUCUGACCCCGACAACCUGAACCAGCUGGUGGUGAGCCAGCUUGACAGCGUGUCCCCUAAAGGCUCUGUGGAGGAGCUGAGUGGAUCAGACCUGGAUCAAACCUCUCUGGCUUCACAGGAGGGCCAAUGCGAGGGCGGCGAAGCGAGCUUGGAGGGAGCAGGGAUACAAACCCGCACCAGGAGCAAGGCCAAAAGGAAAGGGAACAAGCUCAAAGAAGGAUGGUCAAAGUUUGUGGACAAGAUGAAGUCCAAAAAGGCCAAGAAGAAGAAGAUGAAGAAGUUGGAGCACGAGCUGGUGUUGAGGGUCAUGGCGAUCCAGGGAGACGCGUCCAACGACGAGGACGUCAGCAGCAGGGAGGGCUCCAUUCACAGCCAGCAGGACUCUGACAGGGAGGACAGCGAUCUGGAGAACUACCUGACAAGCGUCCAAGAGGACAUGAUGGAAUUCAAGCUGUCUUAUGAGAUGUGGCGUGUCGGUCGCUGGGCUGUCAGCAUCCCUCAUGCCGACUGUGAGGAAGAGGAGCUGAUCUUCACCGUUCACCUUGAGGAGAAGGACAGCCCAGAGAACCUGCAGUGGGACAUCAGAAAGACCUACAUGGAUGUUAUAUACUUCCGCAACAGAUGGCAGGACUCGACCAGCCUGCCCAUGAUCCUGGUGCUAGAGGAAUCAGAGAUUAACGAUGAGAAGGCCAAAGAAGAAGCCAGAGUAUCGGUGGAGAACUUCCUACAGGAAUUAGUUUCUGAUAAUCUCAUCGGGCACACUCAGCCGGUGUUUCAGUUCCUCUGCCCUCUCGAGAAACUGCUGAAUGAGGAGGAACAUUACGGAGGCGUGUGGGGACUUCUGAGCGGUCUGGCUUACUUCCUGACUCCAGGUCAAGAGGAAGAAGAGAGCUCCAGCCCUCAGAUAGAAGCCCCGAAAGAAUUCCUAUCACGAUCUUCACAUCUAGAAUCCACACCUCUGCCUUUAGAAAACCCUGGUGCCUCUACCAAGAUGGGCAUUAAUGUUCCAGAUGCUGCAAUCCCAUCUAUUGUGAUUUCCGAAUGCGAUCCUCCUUCAGAGCCGCCUGAGGGAGCAGAAACUGAGAAGGAGCCGGCAAACGAAAACUGCUCCCAGGACAAAACGGAGGACUCUGAUAAUCCCUUAACCUCUCACUUCAAAAUGAUUUUCAAAGGACUGACCCGAUCCAGGUCGCAGGAUUCUCUCGCCUCAACAAAAACCAACGGAGAUGAAGACCAACCCGAUUUGGAUUCCACGCCACACUGCAGCCAGAACGGAGGCUUGCACGGGGAUAGCGUAGACGGCCCAUCGUGGCUUCAUUUCAGUACGAGGUCAAAUAAAAAGGAGAAAAUAUGUUUCAAGAUGUCGGUCGGAGCGCACAAAGCUAAGGGGAAGGAUCAGGGCACUCUGACACGAGGGGAGGACGCCCAGGGUCAGAAGAGCCAAGUUAACUGGGAGCAGCUGGAAGGAGCCAAAGCCAUAUUUGACCUGCUGAAGGAAAUAUGUGGAAACUCCAUCCUCAUAAACAUAUUUGAUGCCAUUUUGAAGCCUGUUAUGCCCAUCCUGAAAAAAAAAGUGAACUCUUUCCUCAACAAGAUGAACCCAACAGAAGUGCAGAUGGCCGCGUACAUCGACACCAUGCGUGACAAACAGUGGCCAGAGUUUCAGCCGGCUGCACCUCCCCCUCCUCGCACCGACGAGGAGAAGAACGAGACGAGGGAGAGAGCGCACAGCUUAAUCAGCGCCAGAUAUUCUAACUAUCUCGUCUUGAAGAAGACGGACAUGGACUCCGCUUUUAAUCUUUUCCAGAACAGCGAAGAAAACAAAACGCUGGUGUAUAUCCUCCUGUCGUUCCUGUUGAAGGAAUUCUUUCCCAGUGAGCAUUCCUUGCAUGUGAGCGCUGCUGCUCUCCAGAAAGUAACCAACGCCAACAACUGAUCUGUGAAGCCUUGAUUGUAUUUUUAAUGGUACUUUUUUUUUUAAAAAAAAUACGCUUUAGAAUAUCAAAUUAUUUAUUAAAUGAAAUGAUCUUAAAUGCCUUAAAAUAGUUGUGACAGUGUCUGCAUGGAUGUGAGACAUUUUUUUAUUUUUAUUUUUUACCUCAAACAUAUCAAACAUACUGUGAACACUUUGUGAAGUUCCUUUUGGUUUUUAUUUUGUAUAGUUGAUCUGCAUUUGUUGGUGAAAUUUAGAAAACAGUCUUUGCAUAUUGUACUUUUAUUUUAAAAACUCUGAAGAGAAAGUAAAUUGUAUUUCAUAUUUCCAGUUUGAAUUUCACCCUUUAACAUUCUGAUGGAGGAGAAUUUAAAUUUUUCGAAAAAUAUUUUGUGUCACUUUGAGCACUUGUGUACGGUGAGAGUGUUUGUAUACUGGUUAAUUAGGCUUUAAGAUUUUUAUCAUAGAAUAUUUCACAGUGCCGAAUCACCUUUAAUCUGUCAAAGCCGUCAGCAGGCCUGCAAAAAAUCAAAGGACGCUUGAAGUAGUGUUAAUGUAAAUAACUUGAAUUUAUUCCAAAUAAAAUAUUUUAAUACGUUUUGUUUUCCAUUGUGUUUCUGGCUUGGUCUGUUCACGUGAGUUUAGACUGUGUAAAGGAAAAAAAAUACAGUAAAUAUAAAUUGUGAAUUAGUUGCUCAUUAUUUGCUCUGAUGCAGUGUUUGAGUAGAAUAAUGUUUUCAGAUGAGUUAAAGAAGUUAAACCCUCUGAGGCUGAACUGUGAGAUGUAUUAAUAAUUACUUAAAUUAAAAGUAUGAGGCUAAGAUGUUUUGGCAGUAUGUGUGCACUUUCACAUUUUUCUACUGGAAUUUAGAACUAAUUAGAUUUAAUUGCUGAAGAAUAUAAACAUUCCUCAGAUUUGAAUCACAUGCAUCAGUUCGAUAUGCUUUACUGAUCAGCUGAAAACAGUUUAUAGCCCGUAAACAGUGAACAACUUUCGCCAUAUUUUUAUAACCCCUAAUGGAAAUCCUGCCUCUGGUGCUCGCGCUAUCUCAUUAUGGAAGUGUAACGGAAUUAAUUACAGGAUUAUUCUGGUCCAGGUCACAGGAGGGAGAUUAUCUGGAAGCGCAACAGCGUUAAUUUAUUUUAUAUUCACUGAAGUUCCCUAGAGCAAGGUAACAAACAUCACACUGAACCCAACACUUUAAUUUACAGAAGGGAACUUGAUCCUAUUAGCAGCUUGAGGUGACGACUUGUUAGUAAAGAUAAAUACAAAAUGACAAACUCAUGAUGAAAAUAUUAACACCAGUGUUUAAAUGUUGCCCGCCCCACCACUGGUUCUCAUUCUCGUUUUGGUUGUCUAAACAUUGUUUUACCCUCUGAAUUUGAGGAACAAAAUUCAACAACAGUUGAGUAAACAAGGUCACCUUUGCUGGAGCUUUUAUGAACACACGUGGGCCUCAUCAGAAGAUAGAGUCUUCCCAGUCGUCACUGAAAUGCAGAUAGAUAGAUAACUUUCUUUUGGGGAUUAAUAAAAGAAAUUCAGGUUAUCGCAGCAGCAGGUACAUUGACUACAAAUACAAUCGAAAUACAAGGGCAAAUAUAGAAACAAUAAAAUAAUAUAUACAACACAAUGUUUUAGUAGCUGUAAAAUGAAAUGAAAAACUGAGGUAGAAGAGAAAAUGCUUAUGAUUAUCCUUGAUUUCACCAGCUAAUGAAGAUCAGGUGACGCGACUGAGAGUCCCUGAAAAGCUUCUAAACAGACCAAUUACUGUCAAAAAACAUAAUAAAGAUCUGAAACAGUUGGCAAGUCACAAUUUUACUGGAAACAAUUUAAAAAACUGGAUGGGAAUGACGGUGAUUACAAAUCACAAAAUAUCACUACCGAAAGUUUGAGAGAAGGUAUGAGUUUAAAAACAAGAAAGCUGGAUUCAUGAAAUUGUAUACAGUAGCUGUCAAAAUAGCUGUUAAUGCAAGUACCACCAAAAAAUGAACAUUUACCACCUAAGAAGGUUUCAAAGUCUGAUUAGUCUAGAAAAAUAACACAAACACAACGUUGUAAAAGAGAAUCAGCUGAAAUCUAAACCUCUUUAAUCCAGUUUUCUUGUUUCUAUACACCUGCUAAUACAUUUUUACAAUACAGUUUGUGAGAUCUAUUAUUUUAUGAUUUGUGAUCACCAUCACUCACACUGUGGCCCAAUAAAUUUCCAAUUAAAAGAGAAAUCCUCAAUUUGCAGCGAGAGGUCCAUUUAAUUGCUGUUCUGCCUGCGACUCCCAAUUAUGUCAAGUGAUCAUCCACAUACAAAUAAACAGAAAUCUUCUUAUUUUCAUUCCUUCUAUUAAUGCUUUCCCUCCAUUCUGUCCCCCUGUUUCUAUUUUCCAUUCCGUCCUAGCUGAGUUGUUCAUGUGUUCAUGCACAUUGUCUCGAGCCUUAUGCAACUGUUUCCCUGAACACUGGACCAGCAGGUGCUUUGAGUUGAACACUCCGUUGCCAGUAGCAACUAUUACUGUCGCAGUGACCAUCAUAGUGAGUUCAUCUUGGUUGUGUACUCUGGACACACAUCACGCUUUGAAAUAACAUUUCAUCUUCAUUUUUCCAUCCUUACGUCCGUCAUGAUGUGAUAAAAUGAUGUGUUGUUAUAGGACAUUAGCUGUUAGCAGUAGGUUAAAUAUAUUUUGUGCUGAAUCGUUGGCAACUGGACCUGUUUCAGUUCCUUGAAGACAUUUCGCUUCUCAUCCAAGAGGCGUCUUCAGGUCUAACUAGCUGGAUGGGAGUUGCAGACUUGCAAACUUUGUGUGGGAGUGUCCUUAUAGAGUCGUUAGGGCCACUCGUGGGUCAUUGACCCAACCGGUCUUCAUGUGGGCUGCCAGGGCCAGGUCAGCAUAGAAGGUUGGUGAUGAAUAAUGUUGUAGACCUUUAUAAGUUGUCUUGUUUCUGUAGGAUACCUUUGAUCUGACUGUUAUCUGUGAUCCCUAUCGUAACAUUGUUGUCUCAUACUUUUUGGCACUUCUUCAUUAUGUGUCCAUUCACAAAAUUCACAGCAUCCUAAAAGACUCGUUCCAGCCCGCCCAUCACCUGUUUGAACCGUUGCCCUCCGGUAAACACCUACUAGUCCAUCAAAACACACACCACAAGAUUCAUCAACAGUUUCUACCACAAAGCCAUCACCAUACUGAACUAAAAACGCACCCCCGAAACACACGUCAACACUAAUAUGCAAUCAUUUAUUAUCACAAAUGCACUUUAAUAAUAAUAAUAAUAAUAAUAAUAAUAAUACAUUUUAUUUGUUUGAUGGCACCUUUCAAGUCACCCAAGGUCAACUUACAUAGGAUAAAAGCAUAAAAUCACAGAAUAACAUCACAGAAUAUUAAAAACAAACAUUGACAUAAAAAGAAAAAGAAAAGAAAAGAAAAGUGUAGUGCACAGUGACCAGUCAGAGUGAGUAUGCCAGUUUGAACAGGUGGGUUUUGAGUUUGGAUUUGAAUACCGUCAUGGAACAUGUGUUUUGCAUACGUUAGCAAGCUGGCAUGACUGAGAGUAUAAGUGAGGAAAAUGGAUAGUGAAUGAAAGCAUUAUUUAUUGUAUAUUUAGGAUGUACUAUCUAUUUUAUUUAAGCAUUUUGUGUCCAGCACCUGAAAUUUUGUUGUAUUUUUGUACAGUGACAAAUAAAGUCAUUCUUGGACUCAAAAGUGUUAAAAGCACCACGUCAGCCUCAGCCAGCUGGCACAACAAGUGAUCACAGAGAAACUUCAUUCAAACAUCAUUUUGUCAAAUCAUGGUGGAUUUAACAAUGUGACAAAUGAAGAUGAAAUGUUUUGUCCAGCACACACGAACAUAUAAACUCACUGCUGUGGGAACUGUGACAGUUGCCACUAGCAACGAAAUGUUCUUUCCCAAAAAGGGGUCCACCCUAUGUUCCUACAGUCCAAUGCUUCCACAUUUCUAAGAUUUUUCUUCAAAUUAGGCCCUAUGUUCCCACAUUUCUAGGACAUUUCAAAAUUAGGUCUUGUGUUCCUACAUUUCCCUUCACUUUAAGGGUUAGGGUUAGGGGUUAAGGAAAGGGUUAGGGUUAGGCUAGCCCUAAGGAAAUGUGGGAACAUAGGGCCUAAUUUGGGGAAAAAAUCUUAGAAAUGUGGGAACAUAGGGCUGUGGGAACAUAGGCACGCUCUCCUAAAAACAAACAGCUUUUUUCAGUCACAUAAUUACUGUUUAAUUUGGAGGAAACGUGUAUAAAACAUGUACAACACAUCCAGG